CUACGGGGUGCUGCAGGCGCGAAACCUUCACAAUGCACGCAAGUGUGAUGGGGGAACUCCAAGUGCUUAUCGCCAACAAGCGGUAAGCUUUUGUCAAGUGAAAGGAGCUUGAUGAAUAAGGGGUGGGCAAGACCGCUGCCAGCCGCCGCGGUAAUAGCGGCGCCUCGAGUGGUGACCACGUUUAUUGGGCUUAAAGCGCCCGUAGCCGGUUUUAAAAGUCCUAUGUGAAAUCUGGUAGCUUAACUAUCAGCAGGGCAUAGGAUACUAUAAAACUUGGGACCGGACGGAGUCAGGGGUACUUCUGGGGUAGGAGUAAAAUCCAGAGAUCCUAGAAGGACCACCGGUGGCGAAAGCGCCUGACUAGGACGGAUCCGACGGUGAGGGACGAAAGCCAGGGGAGCAAAGGGGAUUAGAUACCCGUGUAGUC
rnacentral:rRNA from 1 species